AUACUUACCUGGCUGGGGAGAUACCAUGAUCACUAAGGUGGUUCUCCCAGGGCGAGGCUCAUCCAUUGCACUCCGGGUGUGCUGACCCCUACGAUUUCCCCAAAUGCGGGAAACUUGACUGCAUAAAC
rnacentral:snRNA from 1 species